rnacentral:lncRNA from 1 species
GGAUAGAAAAAUUGUUUAGAUGAGAGUGAUGAGCAGUGUUGUUUGGAACUGUUGUAGCUUGUAGAAGUGGUAGUAGAUCUCAAUCUCCAGCAGCUACAGUGUAUUUAGCGUUGUGAAAGUAAAAGGAAAAGUGCGAGAUUUUCGAUUGCAAUUAAAAAAUAAAAAAUUAAUUAACAAUUAUAAAAGAAAAUUUAGUGUGUUUUAAUGGCGUCGUGCAGAUGUCGUGCAAG